CCUACGGGGGGCAGCAGUAGGGAAUAUUGCUCAAUGGGGGAAACCCUGAAGCAGCAACGCCGCGUGGAGGAUGAAGGUUUUCGGAUUGUAAACUCCUUUUGUUAGAGAAGAUAAUGACGGUAUCUAACGAAUAAGCACCGGCUAACUCCGUGACAGCAGCCGCGGUAAUACGGAGGGUGCAAGCGUUACUCGGAAUCACUGGGCGUAAAGAGCGCGUAGGCGGGAUAGCAAGUCAGAUGUGAAAUCCUAUGGCUUAACCAUAGAACUGCAUUUGAAACUGUUAUUCUAGAGUAUGGGAGAGGUAGGUGGAAUUCUUGGUGUAGGGGUAAAAUGCGUAGAGAUCAAGAGGAAUACUCAUUGCGAAGGCGACCUGCUAGACCAUAACUGACGCUGAUGCGCGAAAGCGUGGGGAGCAAACAGGAUUAGAUACCCCAGUAGUC
rnacentral:rRNA from 1 species